CAAAAGAAAGUAUUGGGCGGGCCACACGUGUUGCGUUAGACUGUGCUAAACUCGGUGUUGCUUCCGAGGUUGUGGAGAUCAUUGCUCAGAAGUUGGAAAACGAGUCGAGCUUACGUAGAAGGGUGGAUCUUUUUUUUCUUGUUGAUUCUAUUGCACAGUUCUCUAGAGGACUGAAAGGUCACAUUGGCGGCAUAUAUCCUUCUGCAAUUCAGGGAGUAUUGCCUCGUCUCAUAUCAGCAGCUGCUCCUCCUGGCAGUAGUUCUCAGGAAAAUCGAAGGCAAUGUUUGAAAGUUUUGAGGGUUUGGCAGGAAAGGAAGAUUAUUCCCGAGUCUGCUAUUCGACCCUACAUACGAGAACUUGAGUCCUUUUGUGGUUCAUCAUUAGGUCGUGGAUUCUCUCGACGUCCCAUGAGGACCGAAAGAGCUUUUGAUGAUCCAAUAAGAGAAAUGGAGGGCAUGCUGGUUGAUG
rnacentral:misc_RNA from 1 species